rnacentral:rRNA from 1 species
AGAGUUUGAUCCUGGCUCAGGAUGAACGCUGGCGGUAUGCCUUAUACAUGCAAGUCGUACGAGAGUUUUUAACUCUAGUGGCGGACGGGUGAGUAACACGUAAGAAUUUGCCUUUAGGAGGGGGACAACAACUGGAAACGGUUGCUAAUACCCCAUAUGCUUUCGAGUGAAAUGGAUUUCCGCCUAAAGAGAAGCUUGCGGCUGAUUAGCUUGUUGGUAGGGUAAUGGCCUACCAAGGCGACGAUCAGUAUCUGGUUUGAGAGGACGAUCAGACACACUGGAACUGAGACACGGUCCAGACUCCUACGGGAGGCAGCAGUAGGGAAUUUUCCGCAAUGGGCGAAAGCCUGACGGAGCAAUACCGCGUGAGGGAUGACUGCCUAUGGGUUGUAAACCUCUUUUUUCAGGGAGGAAUAAAUGACGUGUACCUGAAGAAUAAGCAUCGGCUAACUCCGUGCCAGCAGCCGCGGUAAGACGGAGGAUGCAAGUGUUAUCCGGAAUCACUGGGCGUAAAGCGUCUGUAGGUGGCUCGACAAGUCAACUGUUAAAUCUUGAAGCUCAACUUCGAAAUCGCAGUCGAAACUAUCGAACUAGAGUAUAGUAGAGGUAAAGGGAAUUUCCAGUGGAGCGGUGAAAUGCGUAGAGAUUGGAAAGAACACCGAUGACGAAGGCACUUUACUGGGCUAUUACUGACACUCAGAGACGAAAGCUA